rnacentral:lncRNA from 1 species
AUUUUCUUGUAAAAAGAAAAAAUGACUUAAUUUGGAGAGGGCUACAGACUACCCCAUGCGGAAGCCCCUAUACACGUUAAUUGUUGGGUUGUUUUUUUUAAACAUAGCGGAAUGCUAUAUUUUUUACAACAAUACAUAUUAAUCAGGAUAAUCUUAUCUAAUUUUGUAUUAUUUAACAGCCUCCGAAUAGUUGUCUGUUGCUGUCCCCUAGUAGUAGUGAUGAAGCAAAUUUUUGAAUGAAAUUUAUUGUUGCAUACAUUAACAUAGUAAUGGUAGUCAAUAUAUUUGACUUUCUCAUGAGUAGUUUAAUCAAUUAAUAUUGUAGGUCAGUCACUCAGUCUUAAGUCAUAAUAACAAAACGGAUAAUGAGGAUUGUAUUCUAUAUUUAUUACCUAUUAUAUCUAUAAUAUACAAUAAAUAUAAAAAAUUUACGGAUUUGCAGGAUUUUUUCAAGAAGAAAUGUGAGGUUGGGUGUCUAGUUUAAUCACAAAAAGUUCCGUUCAAAUACGUAAACAAACAAACUUGGAGCAAGGGAAAGGUUGGCCGUUGUUAAAAUAAUUUGUACGGGACAUAAGCCUCCUGCGAUCGCCAAGACGCGAUGGUAACCCAAGUCGCCAGUUUACAGGAUCUAAAACAAGUGGAAGCUAACUGGCCAGUCCGAACGGAAGUCCCUCAGGGCAAGAAGCGACAAGAAAAUAAAUCCCACGUUUCUGGCGGGCCUCAACCGCCAGAAACCGCGGAGUCAGUAUGCAAACAGUCUAGAAGGCGGUAAAGCCCGACGUGAAGUUGACCUACUACAAGUACUUGAAGAGCCACGUUUACCAGGCGUCGUAAAUAAUUGAACCUCCUCACGGAUUAGCGCCUUCCUGUAACUUUCUUCAGGGAUGAAAAGAAGUGGACCGUAAACAUGUUAUACAACAGACAAAACGACCACUUCUUAGCUGACAAAAAGGAGAAGGUUCCCAUGGUGUACACAACCAAGUUUCAGGUAUCGGUCAUGACGUUGGGGGUCUUCCGGUCCGACAGGAAGAUUAUACCACCUAUCUUCUUCAACCAAAAACAGAGGUUCAGUGUUGACAAGUACUGGAGGGGGGGGGGGUUGCUGAUGGAGAAAGUCAUAAUGUGGAUGAAUAGAGGGAACGGGUUCACUUUCCAACAGGAAUCCGCUCCUGAUCACAAGCAUUAAGAAGACCCUUGACUUGUUCAAGGAGGAAAAAGUCAACUUUUGGUGCCCAAAGACUUGGCUCUCUAACUCUCUCGAUUUGAACCCAAUGGACUACUUCUUUUAGGGGGAGUUAGAGAAGCAUGUUUUCACGAGGCCCCACAAUAGUUUGGCCGACAUCAAGAAA